CCAACCUCUCUCUCUUCCAAAGACAAAUUCAACACUUCAGACCUUCGGCUUUCUAACUCCAACCUCUCUCUACCUUUCUUUGUCUCUUCCUUUCCUUAUUUAAGGGAAUCACUCCUUCAUACCUCAUCACUAUCUCCUGUCCUUUUGCUCUUCCUAUCUUACACGGUUUCAAAACUCCUCAUUUAAUUGAAUAAAAAAACAGCAAAUUUAAAGAAGAGCUCAAAAUGGAUGAUUCACUUUAGGUAUUCAUUUCAGGAGGCAAAUUGAUUCGACCACAGGCCUAGGUUCAAGGCCAUUGUCAACCUUAAUGGCAAGGAGUUGUUACUGCCUCCUCUGUACGAGCUAUCGAGGCUUAUGUCAAGUUGAGGCUAUACAACUUCAAGGGGAUCAGAGGAAGAAUGUUUCCACCUUCUGUGUGUAGGUUGGCAUUAUGAAGAAGGAACAUAUCAAGAUUCAUUGUUUUUGAAUAGCUGCAGCCUGUAGAUCAAUCUCCAUAUGUGGUUUACAUUAUUCUUGCCACGCUACAAUGGAUAGCUUAUGAUCUGAACCUUAGAUUGUAGCCAUAAUACAUGUGACUUUGUUAUAUGUACGUCUAUCUUCUAUGUCAAUU